rnacentral:rRNA from 1 species
CCUACGGGAGGCAGCAGUAGGGAAUUUUCGUCAAUGGAGGGAACUCUGAACGAGCAAUGCCGCGUGAGUGAAGAAGGUCUUCGGAUCGUAAAGCUCUGUUGUAAGAGAAAAACGAUGGAUAUAGGAAAUGAUGUCCAAGUGAUGGUAUCUUACCAGAAAGCCACGGCUAACUACGUGCCAGCAGCCGCGGUAAUACGUAGGUGGCAAGCGUUAUCCGGAAUGAUUGGGCGUAAAGGGUGCGUAGGUGGUGCAUUAAGUCUGAAGUAAAAGCCAGCAGCUCAACUGCUGUAAGCUUUGGAAACUGGUGUACUAGAGUGCAGGAGAGGGCGAUGGAAUUCCAUGUGUAGCGGUAAAAUGCGUAGAUAUAUGGAGGAACACCAGUGGCGAAGGCGGUCGCCUGGCCUGUAACUGACACUGAGGCACG